rnacentral:rRNA from 1 species
CCUACGGGUGGCAGCAGUGGGGAAUAUUGCACAAUGGGGGAAACCCUGAUGCAGCGACGCCGCGUGAGUGAAGAAGUAUUUCGGUAUGUAAAGCUCUAGCAGCAGGGAAGAUAAUGACGGUACCUGACUAAGAAGCCCCGGCUAACUACGUGCCAGCAGCCGCGGUAAUACGGAGGGGGCAAGCGUUAUCCGGAUUUACUGGGUGUAAAGGGUGCGUAGGUGGCAGGGCAAGUCAGAUGUGAAAGCCCGGGGCGCAACCCCGGUACUGCAUUUGAAACUGUCCAGCUGGAGUGAAGGAGAGGUAAGCGGAAUUCCUAGUGUAGCGGUGAAAUGCGUAGAUAUUAGGAGGAACACGAGUGGCGAAGGCGGCUUACUGGACUGUAACUGACACUGAGGCACGAAAGCGUGGGGAGCAAACAGGAUUAGAUACCCGGGUAGUC